ACUCGCUCCUUGGUUCUCUCUUCUCUCUCGCUGAAACAGGCCCGACAUCUCUUCCUCCGCCGACCAGCCCCGCGUCCAGCCGCCGUCCACCCACUGCUCUCUCUGAAUCGACGGGCAGCAGGAGCACCUGGCCACCGCCGCCGUCGAUUUCCCGAGCCCCGACACCGCUGCUACUGGAAGAUCAGUGAAGAUCUGGUGCAACCGCCGCCGUCCGCCGACACGCCUGGAAGCUUUUUCGCCGGACCCCGCCUCUUCCGGAGACGCAGUCGUCGUGAGUCGCAGAGCUCCGACAGUCCACUACCACUCAACCUAAAGCUAAGUUCUCUAUUUUCAUUCUUCUUCUACUUCAAUAACUAGUUGUUAAGGGCAGAAUACUCAUGGUUUGUCGUUCUAAAGCGUAAAAUAACAGUGAAUGAAUCGACAUAGUUGUAAUGCCAUAGCUUGAACAUGUUGACAUGAAUGCUUGAUUGGAUUGAAAUUCGAGAUAGUAUAAUACCUUGAAUAUGAUCGAACUGAUUGAUGGCUGUUGGAGUUGAAUGAAUUGGAAUGACUGAACUUAUUGAUUCUGGCAGGGAGUGAAUGAGUGAUUUCUCUCACUUUUCGGUUGUGGUGUGGUGAAUGAACUGGAACUGAAAUAAAUUUGUGUUGUUGUCUCAGUGAUUGCAGGCUGAUUGCAGGCGGAUAAUGGAAGAAAAUGGAAGAUUAUAGCAAAGCUUACCUUAAGAAUUUGGCUGGACGAAAUGGAGACUUCCUGCUCUUUGAAGAGGACUCACGGUGAAAAUGAUAGGGAAUGUUUUGUUUCUUGGCUGGAGUUGUGCAAAUAGAGGGAGAUGUGAGUUAAGUGGGAGAGUUAUUGAAUUAGCUUGAUUUAGUUGCAUAAUUGCGUGGUGGGGAAAAGUUGGGGGACAAAUUUAAUGGAAAGAAAAAGAGAAGAAAAAGAAAGAAAAAAAAAAAAAAAAAAAAAAAAUGUAGAGGAGAAUUAUUGAUGUAUUUUCUCUGUCUCGGUGAUUCUAUAACUGUAAAGUGGAUCGCGUGCUCAUAUUUGCUUGUACUGUUUAUUUAAAUAAAUCCCAAUUUCGACAUGUGAUAUCUCGCUAAAAAUCGAUAAAUUAUAAAA